UACGUAGGGUGCGAGCGUUGUCCGGAAUUAUUGGGCGUAAAGAGCUCGUAGGCGGUCUGUCGCGUCUGCUGUGAAAACCGGAGGCUCAACCUCCGGCCUGCAGUGGGUACGGGCAGACUAGAGUGCGGUAGGGGAGAUUGGAAUUCCUGGUGUAGCGGUGGAAUGCGCAGAUAUCAGGAGGAACACCGAUGGCGAAGGCAGAUCUCUGGGCCGUAACUGACGCUGAGGAGCGAAAGCAUGGGGAGCGAACAGG
rnacentral:rRNA from 1 species